rnacentral:lncRNA from 1 species
GAUGUGUGAAUACAUGAUUAGCUUCAUCCACAAGCCGUAACACUUACCAGGGAAAUAUAUGAUGAACAGUGAUUUGGAAAACUUCACAAUUUUAUUGGUGGUGACAAACAGGGAUACACAAGAAACUCUCCUCUGCAUGGCCUGUGUAUUUGAAGUUUCAAAUAGUGAAUAUGGAGCACAACAUCAUAUUUACAGGCUUUUA